CUUUGUAUCAUGUUUUGCACAAGGACUCACCUGACCUUUCACUUUUUUGUUUAAGGCUCAUUCCAAGGAAGCUGCCUGCUGUUCCCAGGUUUCUCUUUCCCUCUUAAUAUCAUCCUUAGCUAUGAGUAAUGCAGAUGACUGUUUUAAAUUCUUUAUUUUGCAGGAAAACUUUCUGCUGGAACCUGAGUCUGGGAUCUUUUCCCUCCAUGGAGAAAACCUUUGUCCUUCAGGUGAUGGCAGAUGCCUAAAAGGAAACCUUCUUUGUCUUGGGAUGAUGGUAGAAGAGGUCCAGGGGCUUCACGAGCUGGAUAUUGCACCUACAGGCCUUGGAGUCAGAGAUAAGUAUCAGAUAAUUCACUCCUCCAGAAAGCACUGCCUUAUAUUCAAAAUGGAGAGGGGGAGCAGCAGCCAGGAAGAAUGCUGGGAGUGUGGCAGGAGCUGGGUACCCACCAUAAAGCUGGGGAACAAUUUUCCUGGGACUCUCAGCCCUACAGAUGGGUAA
rnacentral:lncRNA from 1 species